UACGAAGGGGCUAGCGUUGCUCGGAAUCACUGGGCGUAAAGCGCACGUAGGCGGCUUUCUAAGUCAGGGGUGAAAUCCUGGAGCUCAACUCCAGAACUGCCUUUGAUACUGGAGAGCUUGAGUCCGGGAGAGGUGAGUGGAACUCCGAGUGUAGAGGUGAAAUUCGUAGAUAUUCGGAAGAACACCAGUGGCGAAGGCGGCUCACUGGCCCGGUACUGACGCUGAUGUGCGAAAGCGUGGGGAGCAAACAGG
rnacentral:rRNA from 1 species